rnacentral:rRNA from 1 species
GAUCCUGGCUCAGGAUGAACGCUAGCGACAGGCUUAACACAUGCAAGUCGAGGGGCAGCGGGGAGUAGCAAUACUCCGCCGGCGACCGGCGCACGGGUGAGUAACACGUGUGCAACCAACCCCGUACCGGGAGAUAACCCGCGGAAACGUGGACUAAUACCCCAUAACACCUUUCCCCCGCAUGGGGGAGAGUUUAAAAUCCCGAUGGUACGGGACGGGCACGCGCGACAUUAGGUAGUUGGUGGGGUAACGGCCUACCAAGUCAACGAUCAG